UACGUAGGUGACAAGCGUUGUCCGGAUUUACUGGGCGUAAAGAGCGCGCAGGCGGUCGUUCAAGUCGAGUGUGAAAGCCCCCGGCUCAACUGGGGAGGGUCACUCGAUACUGAUCGACUUGAAGGCAGGAGAGGGAAGUGGAAUUCCCGGUGUAGUGGUGAAAUGCGUAGAUAUCGGGAGGAACACCAGUGGCGAAGGCGACUUCCUGGCCUGUUCUUGACGCUGAGGCGCGAAAGCUAGGGGAGCAAACGGG
rnacentral:rRNA from 1 species